GACGAACGCUGGCGGCGUGCCUAAUACAUGCAAGUAGAACGCUGAAGGAGGAGCUUGCUCUUCUGGAUGAGUUGCGAACGGGUGAGUAACGCGUAGGUAACCUGCCUGGUAGCGGGGGAUAACUAUUGGAAACGUUAGCUAAUACCGCAUAAAAUUGAUUAUUGCAUGAUAGUCAAUUAAAAGGUGCAAUUGCAUCACUACCAGAUGGACCUGCGUUGUAUUAGCUAGUUGGUGAGGUAACGGCUCACCAAGGCAACGAUACAUAGCCGACCUGAGAGGGUGAUCGGCCACACUGGGACUGAGACACGGCCCAGACUCCUACGGGAGGCAGCAGUAGGGAAUCUUCGGCAAUGGACGGAAGUCUGACCGAGCAACGCCGCGUGAGUGAAGAAGGUUUUCGGAUCGUAAAGCUCUGUUGUAAGAGAAGAACGAGUGUGAGAGUGGAAAGUUCACACUGUGACGGUAUCUUACCAGAAAGGGACGGCUAACUACGUG
rnacentral:rRNA from 1 species